GUUCUUAGUUCACCAGCACAUGUCAUAGAACUGGAAGAACUCAGAGAAGAUUAACAUAGCUCCUUUGCAAGGACAUGCAAAUCCAUGAGUCAUUCCAUUUUUAA